CAAAAUCCUAACUGAGUAUAUUCUGCUAAAAUUUUGAAGAGAGUGAUCUAAUCUAAGUAUAAUAAUCUUCAGAAGUCAGAAGUUCAGAAGAAGACAAAUGUAGUUGUCAGACUCUGUCCCGUGUUUUGUGUGUGUUCCUGCUCCCUGAUUGUUUGAGUUAUUAGUUAAUUUGAUCCCAUGUGUUUCCAUUGAUCCGAGGUGUUCCUCGUCUUCCCCUCAUCAAAUGUGUUUAAAUAGUGUUCCCAACCCAAGUUUCUUUGUCUGCUGUUAAAUGUUAUCCCCGAUGUUCCAGUGUUUGUUGUCUCCUUGUUUCCUGAAUAAAACUUCUUUGAAGUAUUCUCCAGGGUCUCCUCGUCCCUUCCAGCCUGAGUGACUGUGACAGAAGAGCAGACUGAACAGGGAAACACUUGUGAUGCUGUUCCGGAUCGGGAUAACAUGCCAUCAUCCCGUGGAGCUCCCAGACACAACCAACCUUGACUGGAAGGAGGCAGUCAUCCGGUGUCUUGAGAGCCUCCGGUCCCAAUCCGGAACCCCUCAGCCAGCUGUUUCCAAGCCCAGUCAGCUGGCAGUUCCCAAAGCCCAAUCAGCCGGCCACGCUGAAGUCAAGCCCACUGCCGUUCGCAGCUCACCCAAGCCCGCCAGCUCAUAUGGCAAGCCCUUUGAACAUUAAUAUGGCAAGCCCGCCAAAUGGUAAUCCAGCCCCAGAGCUCGCUCCAGUGUCGGCUCCAGCCCCAGAGCUCGCUCCAGCUCCUAAACUCACAGUGCCAGCUACCCGCUUUGCUGUGCCUGCUCCUCAAGAGCACCAGCCGGUGCCAGCACCACGUACGCGCAUACCCAAUCCACAGUCAAGCCCAGGGAGGGCUCCUGUUCCCGAGUCGAACCCAGAAUGAGCUCCAGAUGUCCCGUUAAGCCCAUGGAGGGCUCCUGAUUUCCCGUUAAGCCCAGGGAGGGCUCCUGAUUCCCCAAGUUCAGACCUCAUGUAGGAGUUCCAAAGUUUUCAUAUGUGAGCCUCUUUGGUGGUCGUCGUUGUCGGACUCUAGAUGGUUCCAUCUGCAGGAUUUCUCAGUGCAGGUAAGUGAUGUUCUGGUAAAGGUUGAUCUGGUAAUUGUCAUUCUUCAACAGGUAAGUGUUGUCUAGGUGAGGGUCAUUCAGGUAAGUGGUGUUCUGAGUGAGCUGAUGAUUUCUCACCGCAGUAGGUAACAGGUUUAUUAUGACUAUUUGGCUGUGUUCUAAACUGGUAGGGUUCAACUUGCACAUAGUAGGCCUACUCAUCAUCACUUUCACUGUCACCCUCUGACUCAUGUUCCUCCCUUCUCUUAGCAGGUAAAGCUGUUCUUUUCUUUUAGUGUUUUUGCUUUAGUGUGGCAUUUUGAGUCGGUGUGGUAACCUGAGAUUGGAGUAUCUUCAGCAGCCUGGUGGAUGACAAUGUGGACUUCAUCCUCCCCAAAAGUUUUCCACCAAGAAGCAAACAUCGGCUAACAAUUGCUUAAUUUUCACCGAUUUUCAUUGAAUUUAGGUUUGGUUUCUUCAAUUUAGGCAUAUUCACUAUUGAUACACUGCAUGUACAGUAAUAUUUCAGUUAGUUUGAAGACCGAUUGAAACAUUCAAAACUUGAGUCUUUGUUUUAGAUCGAUGUAAUAUCCAUUAUUUAUGAUGUGAAAUAUUAUAACUUUUAGAGUGUAUUAUCUCCCCUAACAGCUGAGAAUGACCUGUACUACUGUCUGCAACCCCAGAGCUUAAUACAUCCAUCAGACUUAACAGUUAUUUUUUUCCCUCAUACUUUUCUGUAUUCUUCAAACAUACCUUUGGUGCCUGUGGCCAAAGAGUUGAGUUUCUUACUUUAUCAGACCACAACACUUGCUAGUGGCUUAUCUAAGUGUGGUGUUAAAUUGUGAUACUGACAUUUAUGCUGAGGUUGGUUUCCUCCUUCCAUUCAGAUCAUGUUUGUGCACACUGACCCCUGUAGCAGCUCAAUAUUCCCACAGAUGCUUUGCAGUAAUAUGCUCUGUUCUCUAUUCC
ensembl:lncRNA